rnacentral:lncRNA from 1 species
CCUCAGGAAGGUUAAAAUCAUGGUGCUGGCAUCUGCUCACCUUCCGAGGAAGCCUCAGGAAUGUUAAAAUCAUGGUGGAAGGAAAAAGGGGAGUGGGCAUGUCACAUGGCAAGAAUAGGAGCAAGAGAGAGGAAAGUUCCAUACACUUUUUUUUUUUUUUUUUUUUUUUUCUGGAGACAGGGUCUCGCUGUCACCCAGGCUGGAGUGCACUGGCACGAUCUUGGCUCACUGCAACCUCUGUCUCCUGGGUUCAAGUGAUCCUCAUGCUUCAGCCUCCUGAGUAGCUGGGAUUACAGGCAUGCAUCACCAUGCCUGGCUAAUGUUUAUAUUUUAGUAGAGACAACUGUUCACCACGUUGACCAGCCUGGUUUUGAACACCUGGCCACAAGUGAUCUGCCUGCUCCAACCUCCCUAAAUGCUGGGAUUACAGGCAUGACCCACCAUGCCUAACGUGCCAUACACUUUUAACCAACAAGAUCUCAGCCAGGCGCAGUGGCUCACACCUAUAAUCCCAGCACUUUGGGAGGCCGAGGCAGGCAGAUCACUAGGUCAAGAAAUUGAGACCAUCCUGGCCAACAUGGUGAAACUCCAUGUCUACUAAAAAUACAAAAAUUAGCCAGGCAUGGUGGUGUGCACCUGUAGUCCCAGCUACUCAGGGAGACUGAGGCAGGAGAAUCACUUGAACCUGGGAGGCAGAGGUUGCAGUGAGCCUAGAUCACGCCACUGCAUUCCAGCCUGGCGACAGAGAGAGACUCCGUCUCAAAAAAGCAAAACAAACAAAAAAACAAGAUCUCACCAGAACUCACUAUCCCAAGAAGAGCAAAAAGCGGGUGGUGCUAAACCAUUCUUGAGAAAUCCACCCCUGUGAUCCAAUCAUCUCCCACCAGGCCCCACCUCCAAUAAAGGGGAUUAAAAUUCCACAUGAGAUUUCAGACGGAAGUGACAAAUAUACAAGCUAUAUCAAUAAGUAUGAAUUAUUUGAACCCAGAAGUUAGGAGAACAUCUAAAGGCUUUUCCACAUUGAAUUUUGUUUUAAG